UUUUUUUUUUUUCAGUUCAACUAUACUCUUAACAGCGAGUGGUUGGUUUCAGCAUAAAAUGAAUAAAUAGAGGAUUAAUAAGUCUCAUCAAUAUAAUUCAUCUCUUCCAUCUAUGCAAAUUCAACCUCCAGGUGGAGUCCUGAAAGUUCCUAUUUUGGCUCAGUGGUAAUGAACCUGACUAGUAUCCAUGAGGACGUGGGUUUGAUCCCUGGCCUUACUCAGUGGGUUAAGGAUCUGGCAUUGCCCUGAGUAGCAGUGUAGGUUGAAGAAAUGGCUUGUAUGUGGUGUUGCUAUGGCUGAGGUGUAGGCUGGCAGCUGCAACUCUGAUUUGCCCCCUAGCCUGGGAACUUCCAUAUGCCAUGGGUGUGACCCUAAAAAAAAAAAAAAGAAAAGAAAAAAGUCUCUAGCCACUGGGCAAAUGCUUUUGGUUCAAGCUUCUUCUCUGUCCUUGGUAUUCUCUCAUCCCCAUCUGGUUUUCCUGUUUCCUUCACAUUCCCUCCUUGGAGGGGUAACCUAAUUGUUUACAUUACUUGGACUGGAUUUCACUCCUGCCCCUUAGAUGCAACUUUUUAGACCACUGACCUUUCUGGAGUCCCUGUUGCCACUGCUAAUGCAGUUCCUGUAACUCUGACCCCCAACACAAGCUCCUAUAUUUCUUGAAAGAAAUUGCAAGGUCUAAGGAGGUAGAAGCGGUCUAUUUCUCUAAGUCAAAAGCACCACUGAUUUAAUAAUGAUGAAAAGUGGAAGGAGAUGCUUUACACAUGACCUUCAACUGUAAUAGGUAUAUAAUCUCAGAAACAUAAGACUGGAAAGAAAACAAAGGCAGCUUUGACUGGAGAAAAUGUGAUUCACAGUACACUUCCAUUAAACCAUUACUCUCACCACAGCAACCCUACAUUGGUCCCUUCCUAGAAAGGUGCUGAAAAAUUAAUCUCUUUAAUUAUAGUUUUGAAAUAAAUCUAUUUAAAGAGAUGGGUUAAAAUUUAAAACUUCAUAUUAUAGUUUAAGCACUGAGUAGAGUUCAGAGAAUUAAAACAAUGACCAUGUAACAACUUAAAGGAGCUGAAAUCGAAUUCCAUGAUCUAAAUCAUACCCAAACCUACAGGGGAGAUUUUUUAAAAUACAUAUUCCAAAAUAGCAUCCAAACCUGCCAAAUCAGAAUCUCCAUGGGUCAGGAUAAGAAGUAUUUUUCCCAAGUGGUGCUAUUAGUCCCUGAAGAUGCCUUUGAGAAUCCCUGCUCUAAGAGAGGUAGUUUAGUUUUCCAAUUCAUCCUGUGUGCCUUGCCUCAAAAUUGCUAUGAAAACAAGUAAUCAAAAUGACAACUCCAAGGAAAUUAAGUGGAAGAUUUUCCAAGAAGUAGAAAUCAAAGCAAAGGACCAAAUACAAAUCUACUGAUUGUUACUGACUCUGACUGAUCAAAAUGUUUUUGCUCUCUACUUCCCAUCUUGCUACCUCAGUAUAGGACAGUACUUAUGAACAUAGAAUUUGGAGACACAUAGCUUCGUUCCCAACCUGAUUCAAUCACACACUAGCUCUAUGACACCGAGAAAUUUUCUCUAUUCUUCAUUUUCCCCAGCUUUUUAAAAAACCCAGAUAUAAUAUUAGCACCUACUUCAUGGAAUCACUGUCAAGAUUAAAUUACUAAAUAUAUGCAGACUGCUACGAAAAAAACCCUAGUGUAUAGAAAACACCCAAGAAUAUGAGUUAUAAUUAAUAUUCAUUAUAGCAUUGGAGUGGGUGUUAAAAAAAAAAGUUGGAAACAUACUAGUUCAAGUUAAUAUAAAUUAGGCUAUAAAAUAUUGCAAAUUACUAUUUAUUUUUAUAGAUAUUAAAAUGUUCUAGUUUAUCAGACACAAAAAUGUUCACAUGCAAAAGUACAGAAUAACAAUAAUAAAGUAUAGCAUGUAUAUGUAUAUAUGUGCUAUAUACAUGUUAUACGUCCAAAAUUAGUAAAAUUAGGCACAUAAUUUUUAAAAAGUAAAGAGACCCUUUGGUGGAUUUAUUUUCAAGUUGUUUGUUUUGGUCUAGAGAGCCCUAAUUUUUCAAAUGAAUCCUUGCCCAAGUCAAUACGCCCCAUGACACAUGAAUGAUAAAUGCAUUUCAUACAGUGGAAGAUUUUCUUUCCAAAAAGCCGUUAUCAACUGCUGAAAUAAAUUCCCACAGGGCAGAAGAAUACCAUACACGUGGUCAAGUUCUGUGUUUCUCAUUUUUGUCAUUUAAUUGCUCUGUAUUUGUAUCUGGCUUUACCACAGGAAAGUUUGAUGCAUGGAAUUUGCCUCAAAGCUGAGAAUAAGAUAUUUAUUCAGAUUUAUUCUAUACAGCAUAAUUUUCUGGAGAAAAGUGUGUAAAAGUGUUUUGUGGCAACAUAUAUGGAGUCGGGGUAAAAUGGUAAAAAGAACAUUCUCCAAAGGAAACCACAGUGACUGGGGUAAAGCCUUCCGUCAGGUAAGUUUAACUUUAUUUAAACCCGCGUGUCACAUAUUAUUUACAAUUUUUAGGGUCUAAAAGUGAGUAGGGAAACAAAAAGCACGACUAUUUAAAUUCAUGUACACAUGGCAAAAUUUCUUGUGUUCAGAACUGAGGAAAUCUACUUUCUCCUCCCUUCAAAAAAAGCAGGUUAUCUGCUAUUCUUUAGAUUUUAGACCAAUUUUGUGUUUUUCUCCUCUGCCCCUUUAGGAAUGUAAAAGAUUUUAAACUAAAGAUAUAGAAUUAUAGAAAUCUUUUGAUCCUAGAGUGGAAAAGCAAGUAGAAAAACUAAAAUGGACUUGUUUCUCAGCCGCCCAAAAUUAAAUGGAAUACUGAUUGCUGCUGAUCUAAAUAAAUCACUUUAAGAGCUCUAUGGAGUUCCUGUUGUGGCUCAGCGGAAAUGAAUCUGACUAGUAUCCAUGAGGACACAGAUUCAAUCCCUGGCCUCGCUCAGUGGGUUAGGGAUCCAGGGUUGCUGUGAGCUGUGACGUAGGUUGCAGACACGGCUCAGAUCUAGUGUUGCUGUAGCUGUGGCUAAAGCUCCAAUUCGACCCCUAGCUUGG
rnacentral:lncRNA from 1 species